AUACGGGGGGUGCAGGCGUUGUCCGGAAUCAUUGGGCGUAAAGGGUUCGUAGGUGGAAUUAUAAGUCUGGUGUGAAAGCCCACAGCUCAACUGUGGAACUGCACUGGAUACUGUUUUUCUUGAGUUAUAGAGGGGUUUGUGGAAUUUCUGGUGUAGAGGUGAAAUUUGUAGAGAUCAGAAAGAACACCGGUGGCGAAGGCGACAAACUGGCUAUUAACUGACACUGAGGAACGAAAGCGUGGGGAGCGAACAGGAUUAGAAACCCUAGUAGUCC
rnacentral:rRNA from 1 species